rnacentral:tRNA from 1 species
GCGCCCGUGGCUCAACUGGAUAGAGCAUCUGACUUCGGAUCAGAGGGUUGGGGGUUCGAGUCCCUCCGGGCGUGCUA